GUGGGGAAUAUUGGACAAUGGGCGCAAGCCUGAUCCAGCCAUGCCGCGUGAGUGAUGAAGGCCCUAGGGUUGUAAAGCUCUUUCACCGGUGAAGAUAAUGACGGUAACCGGAGAAGAAGCCCCGGCUAACUUCGUGCCAGCAGCCGCGGUAAUACGAAGGGGGCUAGCGUUGUUCGGAAUUACUGGGCGUAAAGCGCACGUAGGCGGACAUUUAAGUCAGGGGUGAAAUCCCGGGGCUCAACCCCGGAACUGCCUUUGAUACUGGGUGUCUGGAGUAUGGAAGAGGUAAGUGGAAUUCCGAGUGUAGAGGUGAAAUUCGUAGAUAUUCGGAGGAACACCAGUGGCGAAGGCGACUUACUGGUCCAUUACUGACGCUGAGGUGCGAAAGCGUGGGGAGCAAACAGGAUUAGAAACCCCUGUAGUCC
rnacentral:rRNA from 1 species